rnacentral:rRNA from 1 species
UACAGAGGGUGCGAGCGUUGUCCGGAAUCACUGGGCGUAAAGCGUGCGUAGGUGGAUUGUUAAGUGCGAUGCGAAAUCCUGUGGCUCAACCAUAUGGACUGUAUCGCAUACUGGCUAUCUAGAGGACAUGAGAGGCAAGUGGAAUUACUGGUGUAGCAGUGAAAUGCGUAGAGAUCAGUAGGAACACCAAUGGCGAAGGCAGCUUGCUGGCAUGUAUCUGACGCUAAGGCACGAAAGCGUGGGGAGCGAACAGG